rnacentral:rRNA from 1 species
UACGUAGGGGCUAGCGUUAUCCGGAAUUACUGGGCGUAAAGGGUGCGUAGGCGGUCUUUCAAGCCAGAAGUGAAAGGCUACGGCUCAACCGUAGUAAGCUUUUGGAACUGUAAGACUUGAGUGCAGGAGAGGAGAGUGGAAUUCCUAGUGUAGCGGUGAAAUGCGUAGAUAUUAGGAGGAACACCAGUAGCGAAGGCGGCUCUCUGGACUGUAACUGACGCUGAGGCUCGAAAGCGAGGGGAGCAAACAGGAUUAGAUACCCUGGUAGUCCCU